rnacentral:rRNA from 1 species
GAUGAACGCUGGCGGCGUGCCUAAUACAUGCAAGUCGAGCGAACAGACGAGGAGCUUGCUCCUCUGAUGUUAGCGGCGGACGGGUGAGUAACACGUGGAUAACCUACCUAUAAGACUGGGAUAAUUUCGGGAAACCGGAGCUAAUACCGGAUAACAUGUUGAACCGCAUGGUUCAACAGUGAAAGACGGUCUUGCUGUCACUUAUAGAUGGAUCCGCGCCGCAUUAGCUAGUUGGUAAGGUAACGGCUUACCAAGGCAACGAUGCGUAGCCGACCUGAGAGGGUGAUCGGCCACACUGGAACUGAGACACGGUCCAGACUCCUACGGGAGGCAGCAGUAGGGAAUCUUCCGCAAUGGGCGAAAGCCUGACGGAGCAACGCCGCGUGAGUGAAGAAGGUCUUCGGAUCGUAAAACGCUGUUAUUAGGGAAGAACAAAUGUGUAAGUAACUAUGCACGUCUUGACGGUACCUAAUCAGAAAGCCACGGCUAACUACGUG